GACGAACCGAGCGAACGUUGUUCGGAAUCACUGGGCUUAAAGGGCGCGUAGGCGGGUGCUCAAGUCCGUGGUGAAAUCCUCCGGCUCAACCGGAGAACUGCCUCGGAUACUGGGUGCCUCGAGGGUGGUAGGGGUAUGCGGAACUAUCGGUGGAGCGGUGAAAUGCGUUGAUAUCGAUAGGAACUCCGGUGGCGAAGGCGGCAUACUGGACCACCUCUGACGCUGAGUGAGCGAAAGCCAGGGGAGCAAACGGG
rnacentral:rRNA from 1 species